rnacentral:lncRNA from 1 species
UUUGUAUUUGAUUCUAACCAGGGCAGAAGGGGAAAAAAUACAAAGGCAUCAAGACUGGAAAAGAAAGAAGCAAAAAUAAGAAUACUGGAGCUUUAAAAAAGUGUGGUUGCCACAGUGGAUGAUGGAUGCUUGGCUGGUGGAUACCUAGAACAUCAGCUCCCAGGCCCACAGCAUGAACAAAGUGGUCCCGCCCUGAAGAGCUGGCCAUGGGUCAGGAUGGAGGAGGAAGCCGCCCAGUUUCUAAAAAGAAAAAUCAGCCUAACCUCAGCACUCAGGAGGCUGGGGUAGGAGGAUCACUGCAUGCUGAAGGCCAGUCGUGGCCAGCCUGAACUACCUAGUAAGAUUUGUCUCGGGAAAAAAAAACCCAAACCCCCCAAAAUAAAAAGG